UGGGGAAUAUUGCACAAUGGGCGCAAGCCUGAUGCAGCCAUGCCGCGUGUGUGAAGAAGGCCUUCGGGUUGUAAAGCACUUUCAGCGGGGAGGAAGGCGGUGAGGUUAAUAACCUCAUCGAUUGACGUUACCCGCAGAGGAAGCACCGGCUAAAUCCGUGCCAGCAGCCGCGGUAAUACGGAGGGUGCAAGCGUUAAUCGGAAUUACUGGGCGUAAAGCGCACGCAGGCGGUCUGUCAAGUCGGAUGUGAAAUCCCCGGGCUCAACCUGGGAACUGCAUUCGGAACGGGCAGGCUAAAGUCUUGUAGGGGGGGGUAGAAUUCCAGGUGUAACGGUGAAAUGCGUAGAGAUCUGGAGGAAUACCGGUGGCGAAGGCGGCCCCCUGGACAAAGACUGACGCUCAGGUGCGAAAGCGGGGGGAGCAAACAGG
rnacentral:rRNA from 1 species